GAUGAACGCUGGCGGCGUGCCUAAUACAUGCAAGUCGAGCGAACAGAUAAGGAGCUUGCUCCUUUGAAGUUAGCGGCGGACGGGUGAGUAACACGUGGGUAACCUACCUACAAGACUGGGAUAACUUCGGGAAACCGGAGCUAAUACCGGAUAACAUUUAGAACCGCAUGGUUCUAAAGUGAAAGAUGGUUUUGCUAUCACUUAUAGAUGGACCCGCGCCGUAUUAGCUAGUUGGUAAGGUAACGGCUUACCAAGGCGACGAUACGUAGCCGACCUGAGAGGGUGAUCGGCCACACUGGAACUGAGACACGGUCCAGACUCCUACGGGAGGCAGCAGUAGGGAAUCUUCCGCAAUGGGCGAAAGCCUGACGGAGCAACGCCGCGUGAGUGAUGAAGGGUUUCGGCUCGUAAAACUCUGUUAUUAGGGAAGAACAAAUGUGUAAGUAACUGUGCACAUCUUGACGGUACCUAAUCAGAAAGCCACGGCUAACUACGUG
rnacentral:rRNA from 1 species